AUUGAACGCUGGCGGCAGGCCUAAUACAUGCAAGUCGGGCGAGCGGCGGACGGGAGAGUAAUGUAUGGGGACCUGCCUGAUGGAGGGGGAUAACUACUGGAAACGGUAGUUAAUACCGCAUACCAUCAGCUGAACCCAGAUGGGAUUAGCUGGUAGGUAAGGUAACGGCUUACCUAGGCGACGAGCUCUAGCUGGUCUUAGAGGGUGACCGGCCACACUGGGACUGAGACACGGCCCAGACUCCUACGGGAGGCAGCAGUAGGGAAUAUUCCGCAAUGGGCGAAAGCCUGACGGAGCCAUGCCGCGUGAGUGAAGAAGGCCUUCGGGUUGUAAAAUUCUUUCGGUAGCGAAGCGUUAACUACAGAGAAAGCACCGGCUAACUCCGUGCCAGCCGCCGCGGUAAUUC
rnacentral:rRNA from 1 species